GGUUGCUAUUUUUGCUUGCUGUUUUUGUUUCUUCUUUUUGUUUUUGCUUUGUGCUUUGCUUUGUAGGUGCAACGGUGGUUAGAAGAAUGCAAGGCACGGCGGUGGGCACGGUGGUGGUGAAGGCGGUGGUUGGGAGAGCGCGACGGUGUUGGUAGAGGAGCCAUCAUUGCCUAGGAGGCUGCUGGAGUAGCUGGAGGCGGCUGCCGAUUGGGGGUGAUUUGACAAGUCCAGAAGGACUAAAUUGUAAGAGGCGUAAAACUUUUGGGGCAAAAGCGUAAUUUUAGAAAAUAUGGGCCAAAAUGUAAUUUCUUGAAAGUUUAAGGGCUCCAAAAUGUAAUUUUGAGAAAGUCUAAGGGUCAAAAUGUAAUUUUAGAAAGUUUUGGGGUCAAAAUGUAAUUUUAGAAAGUUUUGGGGUCAAAAUGUAAAUUUUAGAAAAGUUUGGGGUCAAAAUGUAAAUUUUGAAAAGUACAGGGGUUAAAAUGCAAAAAAUAAAAAAAUUCUUUUUUUUUUCAAA